CUCCCGGCCGCGGGUCAGCGCCGAGCCCGCUCCCGGCCGCGGGUUAUUCCUCCCGGCAGUGGUCGGAGGAGGCCGGCGCCUCUGCGGAGCGCAGCUGUAGGCGGGGAGGAGCCGCUGUCCCGAAAGGAGCGCCUGACAUCAUGGCAAGGCCUAAGAAGAGACCCAUAUAAUUUGAAGUUCGCAAAGACAGCGAUCAACAAAUCAGCCGAAUUAUAGAUGAAGAACUGUUCUGUGGUUUGUUAUGAGAGAGAUCUACUUUACUUCUGAACAACCUGUGUCUGGUUAGGAAGACUAAGGUGGAAAGAAAUGGCUCCAUCCCAUUCAAGAUGACACAUGCAGCUCAAAAAAAUGGGAACUUUGGGCUGCUUGGAAGUCAAGAUCUCCUGCUCUUUCCAGUGCCCUGGCAAAAUGUGGCUGCUCCACAAGAGCAGAGAUCCUGCAGAGGAGGCAGUGUCAGGAGUGUCUGAGAGAGAGUUUUUCAGCAGAGAAGGACCACAGAAUGUGGCUUGGAGAUGCUUUGAAUAGGCUUUCUUCAAGGUUCAUCAUGUCAGGGUAAUGCAAGAUAAGAAUUCUUACUUACUGGAGGACCAGGUGGACCAGGAGACUCUGGGUUUUAAAUGUUUAGAACAACUUUCAGAAGGAAGCCUGGAACAGACACUCCUUGCUUACAUGGAACUUGAAUGGAACACAAAUGUGUUGUACUCACUGCAUCACCCUUGGCUCCAGGAGAUCCCUGGGGGCCAGGAAGACCCCGAUCACCCUUUUCACCCUGUUCUCCUGGAGGUCCAAUCAGGCCAAUCAAACCAGGAUGUCCCUGAACAAGAUUUAAGAAAAUAUAGUUACCAUACAUUAAAGUAAAUGUGCUUUGCAAACACAUAAAUUAGACCUUUCACAUGUUACCACUGUUGCUUGUCAACAAUCAACCUGAAAACAAAUUAUUCUAGAAGCACAUUUAUUGUUGUUAGAUGGUCUUUCAAACUUUCAGAUUAUUUGCAAGUUGUGGCUGCUUAUUCAGUGAAAGAUCUAAGUGCAGUCCUUACUGAAACCAGCACAGAAAUCACAGUACCCUGGGCACAAAUUUCAUACCAGUUUUCACAGGUAGCUGCUAUCAGCAUCCCACAGAGUUCCACAUGUGAUAUGACUGCAUAAACAGCUGAUCCAAGCAGAUAAACAGAACCUGCAGUUCACAAGGCACAGUCAUGUUCAUGCCUCUUUCUCUACAGGUUUUUCUCUAAUACACAAGCAAUCCAUGUAUUGUUGGGACUCUAUAGGAAAGUGCUAUCCCAGAUGUCUCAAUCCACUAUUUCAAAAGAAAGUAUUAUAGCUGUUAAAUAUUUAUAUUUUUUUCUUUUAAAAUAAAAGUUGCCAAUACUC